GUUUGAUCUUGGCUCAGAUUGAACGCUGGCGGCAUGCCUUACACAUGCAAGUCGAACGGCAGCACGGGAGCAAUCCUGGUGGCGAGUGGCGAACGGGUGAGUAAUAUAUCGGAACGUGCCCAGUUGUGGGGGAUAGCCCGGCGAAAGCCGGAUUAAUACCGCAUACGACCUGAGGGUGAAAGCGGGGGAUCGCAAGACCUCGCGCAGUUGGAGCGGCCGAUAUCAGAUUAGCUUGUUGGUGAGGUAAAAGCUCACCAAGGCGACGAUCUGUAGCUGGUCUGAGAGGACGACCAGCCACACUGGGACUGAGACACGGCCCAGACUCCUACGGGAGGCAGCAGUGGGGAAUUUUGGACAAUGGGCGCAAGCCUGAUCCAGCCAUGCCGCGUGUGGGAAGAAGGCCUUCGGGUUGUAAACCACUUUUGUCAGGGAAGAAACGGUCUGAACUAAUAAUUUAGGCUAAUGACGGUACCUGAAGAAUAAGCACCGGCUAACUAC
rnacentral:rRNA from 1 species